GACGAACGCUGGCGGCGUGCUUAACACAUGCAAGUCGAACGGAAAGGCCCUGCUUUUGUGGGGUGCCCGAGUGGCGAACGGGUGAGUAACACGUGAGUAACCUGCCCUUGACUUUGGGAUAACUUCAGGAAACUGGGGCUAAUACCGGAUAGGAGCUCCUGCUGCAUGGUGGGGGUUGGAAAGUUUCGGCGGUUGGGGAUGGACUCGCGGCUUAUCAGCUUGUUGGUGGGGUAGUGGCUUACCAAGGCUUUGACGGGUAGCCGGCCUGAGAGGGUGACCGGCCACAUUGGGACUGAGAUACGGCCCAGACUCCUACGGGAGGCAGCAGUGGGGAAUAUUGCACAAUGGGCGGAAGCCUGAUGCAGCAACGCCGCGUGCGAGAUGACGGCCUUCGGGUUGUAAACCGCUUUCGCCUGUGACGAAGCGUGAGUGACGGUAAUGGGUAAAGAAGCACCGGCUAACUACGUGCCAGCAGCCGCGGUGAUACGUAGGGUGCGAGCGUUGUCCGGAUUUAUUGGGCGUAAAGGGCUCGUAGGUGGUUGAUCGCGUCGGAAGUGUAAUCUUGGGGCUUAACCCUGAGCGUGCUUUCGAUACGGGUUGACUUGAGGAAGGUAGGGGAGAAUGGAAUUCCUGGUGGAGCGGUGGAAUGCGCAGAUAUCAGGAGGAACACCAGUGGCGAAGGCGGUUCUCUGGGCCUUUCCUGACGCUGAGGAGCGAAAGCGUGGGGAGCGAACAGGCUUAGAUACCCUGGUAGUCCACGCUGUAAACGGUGGGUACUAGGUGUGGGGUCCAUUCCACGGGUUCCGUGCCGUAGCUAACGCUUUAAGUACCCCGCCUGGGGAGUACGGCCGCAAGGCUAAAACUCAAAGGAAUUGACGGGGCCCCGCACAAGCGGCGGAGCAUGCGGAUUAGUUCGAUGCAACGCGUAGAACCUUACCUGGGUUUGACAUGGAUCGGGAGUGCUCAGAGAUGGGUGUGCCUCUUUUGGGGUCGGUUCACAGGUGGUGCAUGGCUGUCGUCAGCUCGUGUCGUGAGAUGUUGGGUUAAGUCCCGCAACGAGCGCAACCCUUGUUCACUGUUGCCAGCACGUUAUGGUGGGGACUCAGUGGAGACCGCCGGGGUCAACUCGGAGGAAGGUGGGGAUGACGUCAAGUCAUCAUGCCCCUUAUGUCCAGGGCUUCACGCAUGCUACAAUGGCUGGUACAGAGAGUGGCGAGCCUGUGAGGGUGAGCGAAUCUCGGAAAGCCGGUCUCAGUUCGGGUUGGGGUCUGCAACUCGACCUCAUGAAGUCGGAGUCGCUAGUAAUCGCAGAUCAGCAACGCUGCGGUGAAUACGUUCCCGGG
rnacentral:rRNA from 1 species